rnacentral:rRNA from 1 species
GAUGAACGCUAGCGGCAGGCUUAAUACAUGCAAGUCGAGGGGGCAGCAAUGUCACCGGCGAACGGGUGCGUAACGCGUAUGUAACCUACCUACAUCAGGGGGAUAGCCCUAGGAAACUGGGAUUAACACCGCAUAACAUAUGACAAGGCAUCUUGUUAUAUUGAAAUAUUUAUAGGAUGUAGAUGGGCAUGCGUAGGAUUAGCUAGUUGGUAAGGUAACGGCUUACCAAGGCUACGAUCCUUAGGGGCUCUGAGAGGAGUAUCCCCCACACUGGCACUGAGAUACGGGCCAGACUCCUACGGGAGGCAGCAGUAGGGAAUAUUGGGCAAUGGAGGCAACUCUGACCCAGCCAUGCCGCGUGCAGGAAGACGGUCCUCUGGAUUGUAAACUGCUUUUGAAUGGGAAGAAUGUGUGGCUUGCGAGCUAUAAUGACGGUACCAUUAGAAUAAGCCACGGCUAACUACGUGCCAGCCGCCGCGGUAA